UGAACAUGUUUGUGUUUGGAGAUUGCUGAGGUUAUUUUCACAAUUGGGAAAUCCCAACAUAAGUUGACUGCCAGUUUGACCACUGAUCUGCAUAAUAUCAGUGGGAGAGCAUGCUGAAUGAUUGAAUCCCGCAGCUUCUGCACCAUAUGUUUCCUGGCCGAGUGGUUGAAAGUUGCGACCACACAUUCCAUGGGUGAUGAUAUCUACCAAAAUUCUUGGCGGCACAGUUCUACCCUCGUCAGUUGCACUUGUCCGAGUCUUUCUCUGCCUCUCAACCAACUCGAGAUAUUCCCCCCCCCCCCCCCAACUGCAUCCCGGCACAGCUUCACAUCAACCCAUCUAAUUAAUUUGUGGGAAAGGUUGACCACACAAAUUUCCUCUUUGGUUGUGGAGAUAGAAUCAUUUUUUUUUGUUGAAAUUUUGAUUUCAGACACUUAAAAAUUGAAAUUGUCAUGUAUUAUUAGGCAUGGCAGGCAUUAGCAAAGCAUCUCAAUCAAGUAUUAAUUAUUUUAUUUUGUCAAUGUUAAUUCAUUGUGUAUGCUAUUCACCUGUUUGCCUUGCUUUUUAUAAGAAUGACACAAAAAAGGAAAGCAUUUGUAAAGUAUUAGUCAAUUUUUUUUUAUAUAAUCUUAGACGAGAUGUUUAGUGAAUAUUUGUCAUAAAUUCUUCUUUAACUUGAUCAAAUCUGUCAUAUUUUAUUUAAAACGUGUUAAGUAUAUUUGUGUUACUUUUUAAAUGUUUAUCAU